rnacentral:rRNA from 1 species
AGACGUAGGGGGCGAGCGUUGUCCGGAAUUACUGGGCGUAAAGAGCACGUAGGCGGAUGUAUAAGUCAGGUGUGAAAGACCGCAGCUCAACUGCGGGGUUGCACUUGAAACUGAACAUCUUGAGGGCAGGAGAGGUUAGUGGAAUUCCUGGUGUAGCGGUGAAAUGCGUAGAAAUCAGGAGGAACACCAGUGGCGAAGGCGACUGACUGGACUGACCCUGACGCUGAGGUGCGAAAGCGUGGGUAGCAAACAGGAUUAGAUACCCUGGUAGUCCACGCCGUAAACGAUGGAUACUAGGUGUGGGAGGUAUCGACCCCUUCCGUGCCGCAGCUAACGCAAUAAGUAUCCCGCCUGGGGAGUACGGUCGCAAGGCUGAA